GUCCUAAGGUAGGAAAGCUGCCUUAGUAAAAUUCGGCUAUUUGCUGGAAUAUCUGGAGUAUCCAAAGAUACUUUUUUAAAAAGUAAUAAUUCUUUCGGUGCAGACAACCAGCAGGAAAGACUCCUGAAUAAGGAGAAUCCCCAGAGACUAUACGCCGAAUCUCGAUAAUUUUGAGAAAGAUAUAGUCCGAACUCUAUGGCGACAUAGAG
rnacentral:ncRNA from 1 species